GCACCCAGGGGCCCCUGGCGUUCCCGAGGCCGAGCCCGGCCCAAAGCCACCGCCGCUUUCCAAAGCCAACCCGGGCCAAUGGCGAUCCUCGCAGGGGGAAGGCCGCGCGCGGCCCGCGGAGGUCUUUCUCCGCCUGGAAGCGCCGUCCCAGCCCCGGCGGGGAGGGUGCAGGCCUGCUCCACUCCACUUUAGAAGCCGCGCGCAACUCCACCGCGGCCUGGGGCGUCUCCAACCUGCACCGCUUUUGGCGAGUUUCCCAGUACGCGGUGCCAGGCAAACCCUCUGACCCGAGAACGCUGGUGAAAAUGCAUAUUCCUCUGCAGUUACCAAUACUAACUGGUCUCAUUUCUACUCAACGCGCGUCCUGUGAUUAAGGCUGAGGCAGUGGGUGUCUGGGGAGGAAGUCAGAGCUGGCACCCACAGGACAACCACACGUGCGCACGACACCCCGGUGAGGCCGCACAUCCAGACCAGGAUAUGAGGUUUUCAACACACACAAAGGACAAAUGGAACCAGAAGAUUUCUUCCCUCUGCUUGUUAGAAAUGACUGCUGUCCUUAGAGGAGCAAUGGGAUCUCUAAACGGAACUGCUCUUUUUCUUCCUUAAAGUGACAGAUGUGGCAUAUUAAUCCAGAACUACAUAUUAACUGAACAAGAGCAGCUACAGUUAACCUUGGAGAAACUGUUCACUAAGUGGCACUGUGGUGAUGGCAGGAAAGGGCUCGCUCAGUGGCCAUGCAGCCGCUUGAAAACAAAACAGCAAAGCAGAGUUUUGCUUCCAAAGGCAACCUGGUAAAAGCUGUCCUCCUUGUUUACCACCCCUCCUACGAGCUGGUGCCUAAGAUCUGUAUUCUUUACAGCAACACCAAAAUCAAAUUUAAUGUCUAAGUUAUUUUCAUAUUCCCUAAGUGUGGUGGUUAAAUGUAUGUGUCAGCUUGACUAGACCCCCAGGAUGCCCAGAUCUUAAACAUUAUUUCCAGGUGUGUCUGUGAGGGUGUUUCUAGAAGAGACUAGCAUUUGAAUUGGUGAACUGCCUAAGCAGAUGGCCCUCCCCACUUUGGCUGGGCAUCCUCCAGUCCGUUGAGGGCCUGAUUAGAACAAAAAAACAGAAAAAGGAAGGUUGGAUUUACCCUCCCUCUGCCUGCUUGAGCUGGGACAUGGAUCUUCUCCUGCCCUCAGCCCUCUGGGUUCUCAGACCUUCAGACUGGAAUCCACAUCACUGGCCCUCAGCUCUCAGGCCUUCAAACUACACCAGCAGCUUUCCUGGGUCUCCAUCUGGCAGAGAGCAGACUGUGGGACUUCUUAAGCUCCAUCAUCUCAUGAGCCAAUACCUUAUAAUCAAUCUCUUCAAAAGAUACACUUUUAGGAUAUCUAUUCCGAUAGACAGACCCUAUUGUUUCCUGUGUCUCUGGAGAGAACUGUAAUACACUAGGCAAUAAUCAGUCGUAUUUAUAGUUAUUUCACAUGACAAAUGUUCUGGUGUAAUUCAACAGUAAAAUUAACUCCUCAAUAACACUUAGGCCAACAAUUGCAUAUCAACUAGACUUUCUUUGAUGAAAAUGAACAGGAAUCCCACACAGGACCCUGCAAUCCCAACACUGGCUCUCGACAUCUGUUUUUUCUCCUGCCUUCAAUCCCUAAGUUUUAGGCCUUAACCCCUCAGUUGCAGAUGGGACACAUCACCCCAGAAUAAAGACUCCAUUUCCCAGUCUCUCUUGUGGCCAGGCACUACCACAUGACUAAGUGAUGGUAUGUGGGCAAAAGUGCUGUGUAAGACUUCUGGGUCAGGUUCUUCAAAGCAACAGGCACGCACUCCCUCUCCUCUUUCUGGUGUCCACUGCCUGUGAGGGGCCAUGGCAGCUGGCGUGGGCAUUUUGGAUCCUGAGGUAGAAGCUGUGCCUUACAGAGUAAGGGACAGGAGGUGUCUGACCCUGAGGAGCCAUCGUGCCCCUCCAGGACCGCGACUGUCAGCCUGUUACAGAGAGAAGCAUCUCGCUUGUUUGAAUUGCUCCUAUUUUGGGUCUGUAACAGCCAUUUAGUCCUUAUGGUAAUAAUGUUAAAAGGUCAGUUCUAACUCGCAUUAACCUAAGAAUUCCCCAAAUCAAUCUUUUGUUUUCUUUCUCCAUUGAAAACUGUUAAUAGAAGGAGAGGUGUUUGAAACAGUCCUGUAACCUUUAGAAAAUUGAAGAGUGACCCAAAUCAUCCCCGUGAAACAUGCAGCCCA
rnacentral:lncRNA from 10 species